GGAUUAGAUACCCUGGUAGUCCACGCCGUAAACGAUGUCUGCUAGCCGUUGGCGACUUUAAGUUGCUAGUGGCGCAGCUAACGCGAUAAGCAGACCGCCUGGGGAGUACGGCCGCAAGGUUAAAACUCAAAUGAAUUGACGGGGGCCCGCACAAGCGGUGGAGCAUGUGGUUUAAUUCGAUGCAACGCGAAGAACCUUACCAGGCCUUGACAUUCAGAGAAGUCGCUAGAGAUAGCUUCGUGCCUUCGGGAACUCUGGGACAGGUGCUGCAUGGCUGUCGUCAGCUCGUGUUG
rnacentral:rRNA from 1 species